UACAGAGGGUGCAAGCGUUAAUCGGAAUUACUGGGCGUAAAGCGCACGUAGGCGGUUUUUUAAGUCAGAUGUGAAAGCCCCGGGCUCAACCUGGGAACUGCAUUGGAGACUGCGUGGCUAGAGUGUGGCAGAGGGGGGUGGAAUUCCGCGUGUAGCAGUGAAAUGCGUAGAUAUGCGGAGGAACACCAAUGGCGAAGGCAAUCCCCUGGGCCUGUACUGACGCUCAUGCACGAAAGCGUGGGGAGCAAACAGG
rnacentral:rRNA from 1 species